rnacentral:rRNA from 1 species
UACGAAGGGUGCAAGCGUUAAUCGGAAUUACUGGGCGUAAAGCGCGCGUAGGUGGUUCAGUAAGUUAGGAGUGAAAGCCCCGGGCUUAACCUGGGAAUUGCUUCUAAAACUGCUGAGCUAGAGUACGGUAGAGGGUGGUGGAAUUUCCUGUGUAGCGGUGAAAUGCGUAGAUAUAGGAAGGAACAUCAGUGGCGAAGGCGACCACCUGGACUGAUACUGACACUGAGGUGCGAAAGCGUGGGGAGCAAACAGGAUUAGAUACCCCUGUAGUCCCU